rnacentral:rRNA from 1 species
UACGGAGGAUCCGAGCGUUAUCCGGAUUUAUUGGGUUUAAAGGGAGCGCAGACGGUUGGAUAAGUCAGCUGUUAAAUGGCGGCGCCCAACGCCGUCCUGCGGUUGAAACUGUCUAUCUUGAGUGCGGCACGGGCAGGCGGAAUUCACGGUGUAGCGGUGAAAUGCUUAGAUAUCGUGAAGAACUCCGAUCGCGAAGGCAGCCUGCCGGACCGUAACUGACGUUGAGGCUCGAAAGCGCGGGUAUC